UACAGAGGUCUCGAGCGUUAGGCGGAAUCACUGGGCUUAAAGCGUGUGUAGGCGGAUCGUUAAGUGCCUUGUGAAAUCCCACGGCUCAACCGUGGAACUGCUUGGCAUACUGGCGGUCUUGAGCAACCUAGGGGCGAGCGGAACAAAUGGUGGAGCGGUGAAAUGCGUAGAUAUCAUUUGGAACGCCAAUGGUGAAAACAGCUCGCUGGGGGUUUGCUGACGCUGAGACACGAAAGCGUGGGGAUCAAACAGG
rnacentral:rRNA from 1 species